AAAGCUCGUAGUUGGAUUUCUGUUGAAGACGGCCGGUCUGCCUUCGGGUGAGUACCAGGCACGGCUUUGGCAUCUGCCUGAUAUGUUGGUUCGGCACUUCAUUGGGUUGGAUCACAUGCCAGGCCCUUUACUUUGAGAAAAUUAGAGUGUUUCAAGCAGGCAUACGCCUUGAAUACAUUAGCAUGGAAUAAUAAGAUAGGACCUUGGUACUAUUUUGUUGGUUUCUAGAACUAAGGUAAUGAUUAAUAGGGAUAAUUGGGGGCAUUCGUAUUAACGCGUCAGAGGUGGAAUUCUUGGAUUGCGUUACGACGAACUACUGCGAAAGCAUUUGCCAAGGAUGUUUUCAUUGAUCAAGAACGAAAGUUAGGGGAUCGAAGACGAUUAGAUACCGUCGUAGUCUUAACCAUAAACUAUGCCAACUAGAGAUUGGAGGUCGUUUUAUUUAUGACUCCUUCAGCACCUUAUGAGAAAUCAAAGUCUUUGGGUUCCGGGGGGAGUAUGGUCGCAAGGCUGAAACUUAAAGGAAUUGACGGAAGGGCACCACCAGGAGUGGAGCCUGCGGCUUAAUUUGACUCAACACGGGAAA
rnacentral:rRNA from 1 species